GAAUUUGUUAUGAAGAGUAGUGGAAUGGAGUCGUGGCUAUCACCGUGGCCUGCCACAUGGAGCCUGUUGCGGGGAGUGGAGCAGUGUCUGUUGUCGUGACUUGCCAGAGAGUGGUGGAGCCAUGCGGAAUCCAUCGCAGGAAGUGGAGCAGAGUCGUAGCCAUUACUGUGGCCUGCUAGGGAGUCCAGGCCUGUCGAUCAAAGCUCGGUUGAGGUGUCUGGCGG
rnacentral:lncRNA from 1 species